UUUAACUGGUACCAUAGUCUGCA
rnacentral:piRNA from 1 species